GGCGGCCCGAGGUGACGGGACCCGCGGGCCCGGCGAGGGGACAGCGGCGCGGGCUGGAGUCGGCCGAGAUCCGACUGCCAGACACGGAGCGUUUGCGCCGGCACAGGAUUGCUUUUCAUUGGCGGGGAAGCAAGCGGGACUGAUCAGCGGUUGGCUCUGGGCUCUGGGUCUUAUUAUUUAUGCAGAGGUGACCAAAAGCCCUGGGCAUAGAGGGAAAAGCUAGAGGGUGACAACUGAGGAUGAGUUAUUAAGCGUUUUAUUCCAUGGCGGAGGAGUCUCCUGUUUCGCUCGCGUUCGCAGGACUGCGGGAAACGCGGAGCCGAAACGCGGGGCUACAACGCGGUGGACGGGGCGAGAAGGAGGUCGGUGCGGCGGCCCGGCGCCGCCAGGGCCCUCCCGGAGGCUGGGGGUCGAGGAGGAGAGCGGGGCUGCAGAAGCAAGGAGGGCAGGGGGAAGGCUGGAGGAUGACGGCUGGGGGAGCAUGGAGAAAAGUCAGUGAGCAGGAGAUCUUAAAUCUCAUCAUCUGCAUCUCACCAUGUGGCCUAACACCCGGUGGGAUGAAGAAGUUUGUCCUCCCCUCCUUUCCUGGCACUGAAUCUCAGCGCUUCCUUCUCCUCCCCAAGGUCACAGUGCUUUUAGUUCCCCUGGUCCUUGUCUGAUCCACAGAUACUCUUGAAGAAAACAUUCUCACAAAGGAAUGACUUUCCUACUGGAAGAUUUCUACAACCUGGCAUUUGAACCGGGAGGGUCCUCUGAGGCUGAUUCUUCCCAAGGACAGUGAAAUCAGGUGGCCCAGUGUUCCGUUGGUUCGAAUCCUGAGCGCGGACAUGGCACUGCUCGUCAAACCACGCUGAGGCAGCGUCCCACAUGCCACAACUAGAAGGACCCACAACUAAGAAUAUACAACUAUGUACCGGGAGGCUUUGGGGAGAAAAAGGAAAAAAAUAAAAUCUUAAAAAAAAAAAA
rnacentral:lncRNA from 1 species